rnacentral:rRNA from 1 species
GACGAACGCUGGCGGCGUGCUUAACACAUGCAAGUCGAACGGAAAGGCCCUGCUUUUGUGGGGUGCUCGAGUGGCGAACGCGUGAGUAACACGUGAGUAACCUGCCCUUGACUUUGGGAUAACUUCAGGAAACUGGGGCUAAUACCGGAUAGGAGCUCCUGCUGCAUGGUGGGGGUUGGAAAGUUUCGGCGGUUGGGGAUGGACUCGCGGCUUAUCAGCUUGUUGGUGGGGUAGUGGCUUACCAAGGCUUUGACGGGUAGCCGGCCUGAGAGGGUGACCGGCCACAUUGGGACUGUGAUACGGCCCAGACUCCUACGGGAGGCAGCAGUGGGGAAUAUUGCACAAUGGGCGGAAGCCUGAUGCAGCAACGCCGCGUGCGGGAUGACGGCCUUCGGGUUGUAAACCGCUUUCGCCUGUGACGAAGCGUGAGUGACGGUAAUGGGUAAAGAAGCACCGGCUAACUACGUG